UCAGGAUACUUUUGUAGGUAGACACGUCAGAUAUUAUACAAAAUUAGCUUAAAUAUUCAAACACUGUAAAAUGAGAGGCAGAUAGGAUAUUGUCUCCAAAGAGGACAUAGUGAAAACGAUACUUUGAAAUGACAAAUAGUCAAAUAUGGGCAUAACUUUUUCAUAUUAGAGAAACCUUAUUGCCUAGACAAAUGUAGUAGUAGUGUGUAUUUUACUUCUAAGAAUUUAGUGACUAAAGUACAGUGCCUUCCCCAUCAUGUUCUCAUAAUAAAAGCUCAUAUUCUGUGAACAUUUUACACUUUUUUUGAGAUGGAGUCUCCCUCUGGCACCCAGGCUGGAGUGCAGUUGUGCCAUCUCGGCUCGCUGUAAGCUCUGCCUGCUGAGUUCAAGCAAUUCUCCUGCCUCAGCCUCCUGAGCAGCUGGGAUUACAGGCACCUGCCGCCACGCCCGGCUAAUUUUUGUAUUUUUAGUAGAGACAGGCUUUCACCAUGUUGGCCAGGCUGGUCUCAAACUCCUGACCUCAAGUAAUCUGCUGGCCUUGGCCUCUCAAAGUGUUGAGAUUACAGGCGUGAGCCACUGCGUCUGGCCUACACUUUUUAAUUCUCUGAUUUCAUGAAGAGUUCUUAACUCCCCCCAGCUAAUGCUAAAAAUGUGUCCUGGUUCUUACACAGGCACUGCUAGUAACGUGGCAACCUGAGCCUGUUCCCAGGCUCAAUUCACAGGAGCCCAUGUUCAGCGGUUAUUUAAUAGCUUUGAAAUGCCAUUCACCUGUGGCCCAUUUCAAGUUUCCCAUGAUUCUUAGGAAGACCCUGGCCUCCAUCUUGAAAACGGAAAAUAAAAACAGCAGACCUAUGAAGGUCGAAGGGGAAGAAAAGCUGUAUCGAUUGUUGAGAUCUGGCGACUUGUUUAAAUUUCAUCAGCCUCACUUCUAUGAACUCUCAGGUAAAGGAUAUUCACGUGAAAUUAAGAGACAGAGUAUUUCAUUGGGAUGAAAAGAGAGCCAUUAAAAGGAAUAAUAAAUUGUGAAAACUGGGCAUGACUGUCCAGCCAGCCAUGUACUUGUAAGUUCAGAGACUGUGCGUCAGCUGGUAAACACAGAGGAAAACCAGGCUUGCCUAAUUUGAUGACACCGUGGGUGAAGUUUUCAGGACUUUGCAUACAAUCUCAGAGACUCAUUGAUAUAAAGAUGUCAGCAGUAAUCAUGGUUGAUGCUUAGAAUUAAAUGUGAAACUUAGAAUGGGCACAAAAUGGAGAUCACAAUGGAGGUUUUCUGCUUCAAAUUUAGGAAUUAUAAUGAUACACAGAAUAUUCUCUUAAUGUGAAGAUUACCAUAAGACAUAAAAAUGUAAGCCAUUUGUUGUUGAAUCUUUCUACACAUACCUCAUGGUUGCUUUAUAGCAAUAGAUAAAAUGUUUAUAAAUGGUAACUUGAGGAUAAUUGAGAAAAUUGUGGAGUGUUUGUACCUUUUGUAAUUUAUCAAUCAGAGUACUCUGACAAUCCUCUCAGGCAUUCUAAAAUGAAUAUCUGUUAUAGAGGUAAAUGGUAAAAAAAAAAAAAAGAAUACAUCAUAUCUAUAGUGUCAGUUCUAAUAAUGGAGGGACUUUUAGUAUUUAUAUUCUAGGGAACAAAAUAUACUUUCUGUUAGUAAUUAUGCAGUGGGAUUAAAGAACAGAUACUGGUCAUUGUUUUAACUGAAUACAUUCCAUAGCAUAUGACUUAUGUCAAAUAAAAGAAAAUGAACUACAAGGGAGGUCUGUGUCCAAGGGACUAUUUUAGUUUCAUUAGAAUUCUGUCCUAUCACAGGAUAUGCAAUAUUCUGUGCUCCAGAUGAACAUAGAAACAAUAAGCAAAGCAGAUUUUUUUUCUUUCAUUCACUCCUAAAAGGUGAUGGCUUUUUACAAUUUUACAAAGUAAGGAUUUUAAAGUCCAUCUGAUUUGGAAUUUUCUCUUUUUUUCCUUCUUUCCUGCCUCCCUCUCACCCCAUUUUCCUUUCUCCCUCCCACUCUCUUUCGUUCCCCCUCUUGCUUGCUCUCUCAUGAUGGAGUCACAAAGGUUAUUUUUAUUUUAUUAGUAAAAUUAUUUUAAUCUUGAACCAUUACCAAGAAUAACAGACCAAAACAUCUCCCCUUCUAGUUAUUCAAUAUUCUUAGUAAUGCAAAGAAUAUAUAUAAUAUUAGCUUUUCCUUAGGAUGUUCCCAAAUUUAAGGUAAGACAUACUUUGGGAGGAAAGAAAAGCUGAGGCGGAAAAUUUGUCUGCUCUUGGUAGAGCUCCAAUCUCCCCCAAAGAUACUCCUUCACCCUCUCCCCAACCCCCCGCCCUGUGCCAUAAUUCCAGGAUGAACAUCUGGCUUGAUUUCUGUGUCAACUGCUUCUUUGCCAAGAAUUGAAGGUUAUAAAAAGAGGUUACAGACCAAAGUUACCAUGGCUGCCCACAGAGAUUUCCUAAAGAACCACUAGGGCCUACUAGGGAGUGUCAAAAAGGAAAACAGUUUCCACUCAUAAAUACCAUUUAAACAUCUUCAUGUAUUAGAGAAACUAGGUUUUAAUUCAUAUGUUUACACUUGUGGUCUUUAUACCUACCUCGCUGAAUUUAUUGUGGGGGUUAAUUGCAUAAAUGCAUAUAAGCUCUUAGAAGAGUGCAGGGAAAACCACUCUAUAUUCUCUUUCUUUUUUCCCUUCUCCUUCCCUCCCUUCCUUCCUUUAUUCUAAGUUCAGUGCUUCUCAAAUUUUAAUGUUCAUAAGACUGAUCUGGGAAUCUUGUUAAAAUGCAGAUAUUAAGCCAGUAGGUCUGGGGUGGGCUCCGAGAUGCUGGAUUUCUAACAAGCACCCAGGAGACCUUACCCAUGAAUGGCAACCAUUUAGGUAGUGACUUACCUGGUGGUUUAGUUACAACAGUGUCAUUAAGUCUGUAAGGUUUUAGUUAUGAUUGGGUUAUGGUUGUCUUUUACUAAUGGUCUAGAGGCCUAUGUACGAAAAGUUGCACAAUAUUAUUUUAUAUGUUUCUUGACCGUAAACUCAUUUGCAAUCUUAAGGAUUAUGUGAUGCAGCAUAGGAAUAACUGUAAAGUGUAAUCCAUGAUCUAAACUCUACCCCAUAACUCCUCCAACCCUCCAGGUGAUUCUUAUUAUCCUUUGGGAACCAUUGAGGUACUUGGGAGAAAUGGGUGCUCUGUGAGAGUAAAAGUUUGUUUUGUAAAUUCAAAAAACAUUUUCGGUUUUGGCAAAUUCAAAAACAUAUCUGGUUUUAUUAAAAGAAAGUGUUCACAAUGAAGCCUAAUUGGUACCUCUCUGAGAAACCUCUUAAGGAUUUUACUGCAGGGAAGGUAUUUAGCGAGAUCCAGGUGCUCUCCCUGAUCAGCAAUAGGUAGCUGCUGGAACAUUGAUUGCACUGUUAUUCAUCCUGGCACAAGCUGUGACCUGCCAACCAGUGUUGCCUGUACUGUUUAUUUCAGGUACUCGGUUGUGAAUAUUAUGCCCAAGCCUUUUCCCUCUACAAGAUUUUCAUCCAUUUUUCUUACUGUGUUGCACAUAUCCUUAGAUAUCAAUAGGAACUUAUCACUCUGAUUUAGCAUCUUUUCUUGCAUUGUACUUUGUCUUUCACUUGAUUCUCUGUAGCCCCAGCUUGACUGUACUGGUUGCUAAUAUAGGGACAACUUAAUUUGGAAAAGCAAACCAAAUAAAACUUGUGAAACAACAGCAUUUUUUGGUCUGAUCCUGCCUCUCUAAUGAUCAAUGACUAUAGAGAAAAUCCAGGUGGAAAUUAAGAUUUUAGAAUGAUUCCCUUCUGGAAAAACAAACAAGCAAACAAACUAGCAUUGCAAAGAUAAAGAGAAAAAAAUCCAGCAGCUCUACUACCUUUUUUCUGAGUGUCAUAUCCUUAAAUUUGCCUUAAGUAUAUUAUUCUAUGGCCAGUUCCCCUACCAGCUAAUUAUUUCAAAUGACCAUGAUGGAGAUACGGAUUUUCCUAUCACCUGUGUAUUUUUCACUAUGCUAACAGCUCACUUAUCCUGGGAUGUGGAUCAAAUAUAAUCAGAAGAUUGUCGUAAAUAAGGAAGCAGCUACAAUGCAUAUGUCUCGUGCAUGUAAUAGACUUACGUACCUCGUUCACUGACAGCAACCAUAGACCUUCACUCAUUAAGAGUUUAGUUUUCUAGCUUGGGUAUCUGGUUUCCUGGCUAACAUUAUCGUAGAAGCAACAAGUUGGAAGAGAAUAAAGAUUGCUUUUAGAAUAGCUUGCUUUAUGAGUAACAUGGCAGCUUCUGGUAAGGGAGAAGGUUUUUUGAAAAGCCUGCAAAAAGACACAAAAAUGGAAAAAGAAAUUGUAAUCUUAAGUAUUUGCUCUGGAGGCAAAUGGCUGGCUAUAUAUCGGGGCUAUAUUACAAUGCAGUUCAAUCAUUAAUGGCCAUAAUAGUGUUCUAGAAUAAUUAAGACAGGCUAAACUUGUCCAUGAUUUAUUCCUAUUUUGGGAACUAGGACAUUUACUAUAUAGUCUUAAAACACUUCUAUACAAAUUGUUUUUAAAAUGUGAUAGAGGGUUUAUUUUUAAAGAAAU
ensembl:lincRNA